AUUCCGGUUGAUCCUGCCGGAGGCCAUUGCUAUUGGGAUCCGAUUUAGCCAUGCUAGUUGUACGAGUUCAUACUCG
rnacentral:rRNA from 1 species